ensembl:lncRNA
AAGCCCUGUGGCGGCCGUCCAGGGAAACUGGAUAGAUUGCUUGCCAGUUGUGGAUGAGACCAAAAGAACUGUGGUUUCAGGGCCUCCACUUAGGAUCUUCUGGGUGGCUUGUGGGAAGCCUCGAGUGUUUGUGGUUGAGCUGUUUAAAGGGGCUACAGAGCCCUUGGCAUCUAAAAGGUGGAGUUCUACAGAGCUGAGGGUUGUUCCCUUCUCACGUUGAUUUUUAAAAAUCCAAUAAUGAUCAAAAAACUUAGAUGUUGAGUAAUUAGGAAAAAAAAAACAAUAUUGCUCAUUAUUUUUACCUCUUGGUGGGAUUUUCUCCCUUCAGUUGAUAUAACAAGUAUCUUCUUCUCUUAGCCCCUCGGCUUGCUUUUUAUGAUUCAUCUCAAAGCCUGGGAGAGCAGUGUGCUGGGAUGGGUUUUAUAAGUGUGUAAUUAUAGGGAAGAAAUCCAACAAUCCUUGUCGAAGAACUGGGAUUCUUCUGUCAUUUCAUAAAUUCUUAAAUCAGAAUAUUCACUGAAUGCAAAUUAGGCAAAGUACUGAAAAUACGCAAGAAAACCCAUUCUAAGAUCAUUUCUGUGCCAAGAACAGAUAAGAAUUAUUGAAAUAGACCCCCGUGAAUACUUGGAAGGCGGUAAUUGUGAAUGACAAUUCAGUUCAUCUCUCCCUUAUUAUCUGAUUUCAGUGACAGCUCGAAAGUGCUGGGUUUAGAGUUUGUUUGGGGGUUUUGGCUUCCUUGAAUCCAAAUAAGCUUUCCCAGUUCUCAGCAACUCUCCGUGUUCCACUCUUUGUCUAAAACGGUCACGUACCUUGCUUUCUCUGGAUCCUGACGACCACUGCCCACCACUUUCACGCUGUAGCCUCAGGCGGCGGCAGGGAAGAGGCGAGUGGGCUGAGCAGAGGAUGGUGUCGCCGCCCCAGAUCUCUUUAACAGUGAUGCCUUCCUAGAAAUGACCAGGAUCCAGCUUCUCUAGUCCCCUGGAAAAGAGCCAUUGUGGGCCAUUUUGCCACAAGGUUAAGAAGUCAGUUCCAGAAUUUGCAUGUGGUUGAAAGGUUUUUAAACAUCGGCUAACCCAGUCACCUGUAAAAGUCCUGCGUGUUUCUAGUCCCCCCUCUUGUCGGCCUAACAGUGAGUUUGGGGAGUCCUGCUUGGUAGGGAUUGACUCCAGGCAGGGUCUGCUCGUCUACCUGCCGCCUCUGCGACAGGGAGUGAUGAGGCGUGGGUCUCAGCACUCUUUUCCUUUCUCCUGAAACACGUCCCUUUACUUAGCAAGGCGCUUUGGUAGCUCCCACCAGAUACUCCCUAAGGCUGGAUGACAAAUGCCUGACAUGGUUUGUUCCUCCCACAUAAGGAUGCAGGGACAGGUUCUGAGAAGAAUGGUUCGCAAAAUAUUUGAACCACUCUCUGCAUCUCACACUGUUCAAUGGACAGCAUGGACCGUUGCUGUGUGACCUUGCCAGGUCCAAACUGGCCCCCUUGAAAACCAAGCUUAUGUGCCGCAAACUACUAAUUGUCCUCGCAGUUACUAAUUGUUUCUCACGUGACUCCGCUGUUUUUCUAAGUCUUGUAUCUUGCCUCUGAAAUGUCAGGAUCCAUAGAGCACGCCUGGGUUAACCAGUCCUCAAGCCCUUGCCCAGCGGUGCGCUGGGCCUCCUCACUCUGACUCCGCAGCCCUGGUGGACCCCGGUGUCGUCUCCUGCCCUGCCGGCAGGGGGCGAAGCCGUGCAGGGGACCCUCCUCCGACCCCCAGGAGGUCCUGCACUACCUCUGUCUUAUUCAGACUUUGGGGUACACCCUGGUAAGUCAAACUGCCAAUUUUAGGUCCGAGAUGUGCUUUUUAAAAUAAACCGUAAUAAACUCCACUUUGUACUUUAGAUUUUAAAACUGGGAAGAAAAAUGUGAUAUACUUUGGACCACUUUUUUUUUUAAUUUAUCGAAGCCUUAACGAACAGUGUAUAUACAUCUGCGUUCACACCCCCCGCCCCUGUCCCCAGAGUGUUUUCAGCACGUCAGGGACAAAGCUGUAGCGUUAGGAUGUGAGCUUGUAUGUGUUAUAGGAAAGGCGAGCUUUCUGUUGGUGCAGAAUCGUCCAAGAAAACCUCUCGUUUAGACCCCUCCCCUUCGUUAAAGGUGUUGCGCGCAGAGCAGCGCAUGUUCAGGACGCAUGUCUUUUCAGUGGUCGGCUUUGUGUUUGUACGAGUGACGGUAGAGCCUCACGGCGUUGGUGACAGGCCUCUGUGUGCUGCCUUCUCGACGUGUAUCAGUGCAUCGUAAGCCUCGUGACCGUGACCCCGUGUCCACAGGCAGAAUCUGCGUUCCUACAGAAGCCACUUUGCCCCCUCCCUCAGACUAAUUUCACCUGGACUGUCACGGUUUCCUUCACGUUAACUUCGCAUUUAACUGUUGCUGCUUCACAACUAUGUAUGUAAUAUAUGUACCAACAUCUGCUGUGCAAAUCUAUCUGUAUAUAUUUGUAUAGCAUUUACACCUACCUUGAGGAAUCUGGUUUCGAAAGGGAGUGAGAGGUUAGUCCCUGCUACCUUUUUCUCCAAGCUGUGUCCUGAGAAUUCUGACCCUCAGAGAACCCAAGGGAGAUGAUGAUAGAAUAUGCUGUCAUCUCUUAAUUCAGCAUCUAUUAUCAAACAAAACAUGAAAAAAAAAAAAACAGUGACUUUUAAGGUGAAAAGUUUCAAGCAUUCCAAAUGAAUUCUCAAUGUUUCGUAACUUUUUAUUAUAACCUCACCUCCUAAUACAAAGCCAAGUACUAUUUGAUACAGUGAUUAAAAACCAAACAACUUGGAAAUUUUUUAAAAGACAUCGUCUGGCUAAAUGCUCAUUUUCACAAUCAGAAUAGCUUUAAAAUACAGUUGAAUUUGAUACAUGUAGAAAAGGUUUUGUUGAAGAACAAAUUCCUUUUGCUUUUCGUUUUUCUUGAGAGACCUAAAGAGAAAUUGUGGAUUGUUUUCCUGACUUAACAAGAGUAUUGUGACAAAAUGAAGUCAUUGUAAAGACGUGAUGCGACUUGUCAAAUAUUUAAUAAAGGAUUGUGGAAGCCGGAACUUUUUCUACAUCAAGUAUUACAGGUUGUCUGUUUUAAAGCUUUUUCAUGAAUGCAUCGUCUUAAUUGUUUGGGGGGUGAUAUUCAAAUGCUUGCAACUUUGUAGAUUGUAUGCUCAUUAGAAGCAUCUCCCUAGAAGUUCCACGUCUUUUAAAACAUCAUUAAAGACUUCGCUGAACACAUGGGUUGAGCUUAAUGGGAUGUACCUCUGUUCUUAUCCAUCUGUCUUUUAUUUAAGAAUUAAUGACUUGAUGGAUUACCCAAGUGGUAGUAUAAAGUCCAUGACUGGAAAGGCAUAUUUCAUCUCUGGUUUUCGUCCAACUCAC